ACCUCGCUCUCAACAUGUGGAUUGAAUGAGGAACUGCUGAAGGACUGCUCUCCCUCCGUGGAACAGGAAGGAUUCAACUGAACUCUCAAAGACUAUGAGGAGGGUACGGACGAUAAAUACUCUGAAGGCCUCUCCCUAAUUUACCCAAAGACGAACAAACAUCCAACAGAAGACAGUGUCCAAGGGGCCUCUCAGGGGCGUCCCGGGCUGGCCAGUGCUACAUCUUUGGCUCCUAGCCACUGUACCCAAACGUGAGUUCCCUUGGUUUGUAUAGCUUGUGGGAUUACCAGGUUGGUCCCCAAUGUAUCCAAAUGACAACGUACAAGAAACCCGUACAAAGAGAAAUCGGCGAGGGUGUCAAACUCUUUUCUAACCCAGAGAAAUCCGGAAUGGUGGAUUGCAUUUCGAUAUA